rnacentral:rRNA from 1 species
CCUACGGGCGGCAGCAGUGAGGAAUAUUGGUCAAUGGACGAGAGUCUGAACCAGCCACGUAGCGUGAAGGAUGACUGCCCUCUGGGCUGUAAACUUCUUUUAUAUGGGAAUAAAACGUUUCUCGUGUGGGGUUUUGUAUGUACCAUAUGAACAAGGAUCGGCGAACUCCGUGCCAGCAGCCGCGGCAAUACGGAGGAUCCGAGCGUUACCCGGAUUUAUUGGGCUUAAAGGGAGCGUAGGUGGAUUGUUAAGUCAGGUGUGAAAGUUUGCGGCUCAACCGUAAAAUUGCAGUUGAAACUGGCAGUCUUGAGUACAGUAGAGGUGAGUGGAAUUCGAGGUGUAGCGGUGAAAUGCUUAGAUAUCAGGAAGAACACCGGUUGCGAAGGCGGUUCACUGGACUGCAACUGACAUUGAUGCUCGAAAGUGUGGGUAGCAAACAGGAUUAGAUACCCUGGUAGUC